rnacentral:sRNA from 1 species
AUUGUGACGGCACAGAAGGCUCUGCCAAUUGGGUGUCGAUGCGAAAUUAUUAAUUUUCUCGCAUUGCUCGUCGUCCCAGGGCUCACGAGCCCUUCCUGUCCAGGCUUUCCUUUCGCGGACGGCGUGUGAAUGUGACGGCGACGGCGAAGGCGAUGGCAACGGCGAUGCGAUGCUAAACGGCAGCGACAGCGACAGCAACAGCAACAGCAACAGUUGCCAAUGUCAGAUGCUGCGAGGUGGAUAGCUGGAUGUUCGUCUCGGUCUUCAUUUAAAAUUCCUGGCGUUGCUUAAUAAUGCAAGAUUCAUGUCGAUAUGUCAAUGCGUUUGCGCGCAAUCGAUCAUUUUGGCGAGAAGGAGAUGGCUGUGGAGCUCUGGAGCCCGGGACCUCUGGACCUCGAGCCGGAUCACAGAGCGGACGCGACCGUGGGCCCAUAUCACAAACACACUCUCCAUGGCCUGUCCUUGUUUGACAUAAUGUCGCCAGAUUAACAGGGGCGAUAAACCAUCAAGCAGUUGUUUAGUUCGCAGCCAUUAUCUCCGCGAAGUUGGCAAUUUUAUGGGACGGCUUAUUACACGAUUUGGUCACGGCUAACAAUACAUCACGCAGUCACACGACCAGUGAUAAGGUCCCGGAGAGCAGAACAGACGGACAGACCAGUCCUGGACGGAGACAAAAACUUAUCAAUUAAGCACCAGCGAUCAUUCGAGCAUCGACCAUCAACCAUCGACAAUCGAGUACGUCAACUGCUCGCCGAGAAACAUUGAUUUAUGCCUGCCUGUCUGCCACUUUUUGUGGCAGUAGUCGGACAGAGUUGUCAUAAGGACACAGCAGAAGAAGCAGCAUCAGUAGCAGCAGAAGCAGCCGACAGCCGCGGAGGACAACUUGAGCAGCAAAACCCUUUUGCAGCAUUUAAUAGUUAUUUUAUGUUAAGUUGUCAUUCCUCCACACCGAAUCCAGGCAACGCGCAUCCCAUGCCAGCCAUCUCCAAACAUGUUUAUUUUCUAUACAUCAUCGGCCGUAACGAUAAUACGAUUAUGUACCUCUAAUAUUUA